GACGAACGCUGGCGGCAUGCCUAACACAUGCAAGUCGAACGAGACCUUCGGGUCUAGUGGAGCACGGGUGCGUAACGCGUGGGAACCUGCCCUUAGGUUCGGAAGAACUCCCCGAAAGGGGUGCUAAUACCGGUUAAUGUCUUCGGACCAAAGAUUUAUCGACUUUGGAUGGGCGCGCGUUGGAUUAGCUAGUUGGUAGGGUAAAAGCCUACCAAGGCGACGAUCCGUAGCUGGUCUGAGAGGAUGCUCAGCCACACUGGGACUGAGACACGGCCCAGACUCCUACGGGAGGGAGCAGUGGGGUAUAUUGGACAAUGGGCGAAAGUCUGAUCCAGCAAUGCCGCGUGAGUGAUGAAGGCCUUAGGGUUGUAAAGCCCUUUUACCCGGGAUGAUAAUGACAGUACCGGGAGAAUAAGCUCCGGCUAACUCCGUG
rnacentral:rRNA from 1 species